CCGACCUUAGCUCAGUUGGAAGAGCACAAGACUGUAAUAGGCACUGUGAGGAUCUGCAAUUAGACUUACCUUGAUCUUGGGGUCGCCUGUUCGAACCAGGCAGGUCGGA